AGUCACACUUGAAAGUCCAGACGGACUUACAUCCAAGAAAGCGAGGACUCAGAGCCAAUUGCGAGGCCAGGCGUAAAAAAUGCAUUACUGGGUUCAAGCUUCUUCCUCUGAUUUCAGUGGACCUCUUCCCCAACCUCGCAGUGGUCACAGUGCUGUUGUCGUCGGAAAGUCGAAGGUGGUCGUCUUCGGUGGUCUCAUCGACAAGAAAUUUCUAAGCGACGUCGUUGUUUAUGAUAUGGAGAACAAGCAAUGGUUUCAGCCAGAGUGCAGUGGAAGUGGGUCUGAUGGACAAGUGGGUCCUAGCCCACGAGCCUUUCAUGUUGCUGUCUCAAUUGAUUGCCACAUGUUCAUCUUUGGUGGGCGAUCUGGUAGCAAAAGGAUGGGUGACUUUUGGGUUCUGGAUACUGAUAUAUGGCAAUGGUCAGAGCUAACUAGUUUCGGUGACUUGCCUUCUCCAAGGGAUUUUGCUGCAGCUGCAUCUAUUGGAAACCGGAAAAUCGUUAUGUACGGUGGGUGGGAUGGCAAGAAGUGGUUGUCAGAUGUUUAUGUCUUGGACACAAGUAACAUUGUUAAAUUUCUUUGUAGCCGUGUUGCCUCAUGAGACUACUCUCUCUUUUUUUUUUAAUCUUUUAAAUUGUUCAUAUUACAUUGUUUUUUUUUUUAACAGUAUCACUUGAGUGGAUGGAGCUGUCAGUUACUGGAGCAUUGCCUCCACCUAGAUGUGGCCACACAGCAACCAUGGUUGAGAAACGGUUGCUUAUUUAUGGUGGCAGAGGUGGCGGUGGGCCAAUCAUGGGUGAUUUGUGGGCUCUGAAGGGUGUUAUUGAAGAAGAGAUUGAAACUCCUGGAUGGACCCAAUUGAAGCUUCCUGGUCAAGCUCCUUCUCCUCGUUGUGGCCACACUAUAACAUCUGGAGGCCACUAUCUCUUGCUGUUUGGUGGGCAUGGGACAGGUGGUUGGUUGAGUCGUUAUGACAUCUAUUACAAUGACUGCAUUGUUUUAGACAGGGGUAUGUACUUCUCAUAAUUACUAGUUAAAAUCAAAGGGAUUAAUCUUAAAUGGAUUAUUUCACCUUGUUAACCUUCCAUAGACCAAGCCUAAUGAUUGGAUGAGCAACAUGCAUGCUACUGCUAGCAGAUACAGUUACAUAAGACAAUAAAUUGGUUGCUAGGUUAAUAAUUAUUAUCCAACACAAUUUUAUCUUUUCCAAUUUUGCAUCUUUUCUAUCUCCUAUGUGCUUUUCAUAUUCUAACCAUUGGUUUAAUUUUUAAGUGUCUGCACAGUGGAAACGGUUACCUACCAGUGGUGAUCCCCCUCUUGCUCGAGCAUACCACACAAUUACAUGUAUUGGUUCACGAUAUCUAUUGUUUGGUGGUUUUGAUGGGAAGUCAACAUUUGGUGAUAUAUGGUGGUUGGUUCCAGAAGGUGCUAGAUUUGCUUUUCAAUAUAAUCUGUACUCCUCUAUGUGCUUCUCUAUUUUCUUUUCUUUUUUCUUUUUUUUCUAAAUGUGCCUAUUGUUUUCAGUUAUGAAAUCUCAUUGUUAGUGGUUUAUAAUGGCAAUUUAUAUUUCAUUGAUUCUGCAAUACUGCCUGUUACCUUCAGUCAUUAUCCUACUUCUACUUUUUAUGAUUGUGUACAGCUCAUAUAAUUUGGAUGAUGAGAAGUUUGAAAAUGAGCAUCUUCCAUCAAAUAUAUCAGACCCUGGCCAGGUUUUUUCUAUCAGCAUAGCUCAAAAAUUCUUUGUAAUUUCAAAAAAGAAUUCUAUUAUUUAAUUUUAGAUGGUAAGUUCUUCGGUGCAUGGUUUAUGCAAGAUUGCACGUGCUUUUUAUGAUGUUGAGGAGGCAACAACCAUUGCUUUUGAAAUUAUAGUUGAACACAAGAUGAUCAGAUCAGAAACUCGUGCUUUACUUAUUAAAUUCCUUCAGCUUUUAGUGGCACAUCAUCCUUCUAAGAGACUAUUUGUGAUAGGUGCCGGAAGGGAAGUGCUGAAGUGCUAGUAAACUUUGAUGAUUUGUGCCCACUAGAUGAAAAACAGGAGAUUGUUAGUAAUGGCAAGAGUGUGCUGGGGAAUUUCCAGAUAUGUGGAAAAGAAGUUCCUCGGGGAUAUUGGACAGAUCAGUUCUUUGUCAUUUCAAAUUGGAGACUUACUCUUAAGUCAAUUUUUGAGCUCACCCAUUAAACGUGCUUGAAGAGGCUGCAUAGAGCUAAUAAAGUGAGCUUAUAUUUGGUCUUGUUCUGAGGUCUUCAAUUCCAUAAUUCCAUCAGUUGACAUGGCACAAUAAGGGGGCUGAGCCACCAGUUCAGUGCUGAGAACAUUUUGUAAGGAACAAAGCAUGAGUUGGGCUGAUUCAUUAGCCUGACAAUGAUUGAGUGGUAAUCUCGCUUUGAGAGGAGUAUUAGAGAUGGUGGAAGGAAGAGCCACCAUAUAGUGACAUGGUGGCUUGUGUGCUGAAAUGGCUGUGAUUGUGAUUGCUAGUAGUGGUGUGUAGCAUUACAGAUGCCAAUUGUGCCAAGAAGGCAUCAAGUGUACUUUCAGAUGCUACAAUCUUUUUACUUCUAUUCAUAAUCAGCAGUUUCAUUUUCUUGUUUCCAUAGAGUAAUUUCAAAAUAUCAAAGAGGGGGAGGUUAGUCUCGCCCUUUGUUCUUUUCUUGUCAAAUUACAGUUUUGUGUUUCCAGUGCAUGCAUGGUCAAUGUGGCUUCUAUGAUCAAGGUUUGUAUUUCCAAUACUGCUGAAUGCUGCUUGAGUUUAUGGCCAAUUUUAUGGAGGUUUACAGUAACAAUGCCAUUGCAAAUUUUCCCCAAACUUGGCAUCUUUAGUAGUCUUUUCUCUCAAGUGGGACAGAAUUCACAGAAAUGCCCCUGAUAUUUAUUUAUUUUUAAAGCUACUGUAAGCUUUGUUUGCACUCAUUAGUGUUUAGCCAGUUAUCUUUUUUGAUUUGCCUGUUUAUUUAUAUGCAGUUGCGGAUUAUGGGUUCUAUUGCAUUCAUUGUCUGUGAGGAUUGAGGAUGCAGAGAGUCAGUUUGCCUUUACAGCUAUAUGUGAUUUUAUCCACAAUUUCUUUAUUUGCCAAGAAUGUCGCCAACAUUUCUAUCAUAUGUGUUCAAGUGUUAACAGUCCUUUCAACACGUCUCGUGACUUUGCCCUUUGGUUGUGGAAUGCACAUAAUUUGGUAAAUGAGAGGUUAAUGAGGGAAGAAGCAUCUCUUGGAACUGGUGACCCUAUGUUCCCAAAGAUUAUUUGGCCUCCAAAGCAGCUAUGCUCUUCGUGUUCUCACUCUCAUGGCCGGAAAAAUGAUGGAACCAAUCGGAUUGAUUGGGAUACGGAUGAGGUAUACAAGUUCUUAACUAAUUAUUAUGGAAAAACGCUGGCUUCUCUGUACAAGGACAGCAGUCUUCUUGGGAGUGAAGCGAUUGAUGGGGCUAUUGAAGAUUUGGUGGCCUCAACAAAUGCGGUAGUUGUGCCAGUGGGGGCUGCAUUGGCAAUUGCUCUUGCUAGCUGUGCAUUUGGAGCGCUUGCAUGUUAUUGGCGUUCACAACAGAAGAGUCGGAAGCCAAGGAGGAAGGCGGAACUAAGAUAGUUAGAAGGACCAAACCAUACACAGCCAUUAAGCUGCCUGGUCGGGUGAAAUCAGGCUCUGAUAGGAAUCCAGAUUACACACUCACUAGCCUGCUUUGAGGUCCUCUUCUUUACCCUCUUUUUGAAAUUUUUCCUUCUCAAUGUAUACUCUGGACUUGUACAGAUUCAUGUCAUAAUUGUAAUUUUGGAAGAGAAAUUUUCUUGGUCAUUUCAUUUUAUGUACCUGUAUCUGUAUGUCUUAUGUGUACUGCAUGGAUCCACAUUUUUGCAUGUAUCUGCAUAUAAUAGGAUGUUUGCUUCUAUUUUGAGUUUUGCUGCCACUCAAUUUGCUUCCUCCUUCUCAAUUUGAAGCUUCAGAUGGUGAAGAGAUGUGCUGUUUAAACUAGGAACAAAAUCACAUCUUGGUUUAGUCUGCUUAUGCCUUUUACAAUCUACUGGUAUUGCAAGAUUUAUUAUUUAGAGAGAUCAAUUUCAAAUUUGACCAGGAAAGGAUGCCGAUAAUGUCUAUAUGAUCUUUAGCAAAUAGAUUAUUUUAUGCAUUCUCUUUUCAUUGGCCUUGGUUUUGUCUAUGAUUUGCUGGUAAACUUUUAAACAUCAAUUGCAUGAUUCUGUAUGGAAUUCGAAUUGAACUUCGAUGGCGAGGUUUGCAUAAGAGGGUCUUGGUGGAGGAAAUAAGAAAAAUAUGCCCAGAGAGACUAUGGCGGUACUAGCUAUCCGAUAAUGCUUUGUCUUGCAUUACAAUUUCUCCUUGUCUGUGGAUCACUAACUGGGCUAAGUCAGGCUCACCAACACGUUAGGAGUUGUCCGCUAUGAUCCAGGGCUCUCAUGGUUCUACCCCAAAAAGAAGCCAGUAGCCUCGCCACACUAAGCACAAGAAUUCAUACGGAUCCCUCAACCAAAAGGAGUCAAAGAUUGGAUGAUAAAUUCUUGUUAAUCUCGAAUAAGGUCUUUGGUAUUAAGAAAUUCUUGUUUUUGGUAGAUCGUAAUCAAAUAUAAAUAUGAUUAUAUAUUAAUAUUGUCGGAUAUUAAUGGGAAUCCCUUUGCAACAAUUGGCUAGUACAACUGUUAACUGGGAAAUGUAGUUGUAUGUGCAGCUACGGCCUAUGGUAGAUUUGGCCGUGGGCUGGUUUGAAAUCGGA
rnacentral:misc_RNA from 1 species